UUAUAACGGCAAAACCGCAGAAAUACGGCGACGCAAAAUCAGGGGCCUAAACUGGAUUCAGCAUGGCAGCCGAUUGCC
rnacentral:ncRNA from 1 species